UAAGACCUCGCGUUAUUGGAGCGGCCGAUAUCUGAUUAGCUAGUUGGUGGGGUAAGAGCCUACCAAGGCGACGAUCAGUAGCUGGUCUGAGAGGACGACCAGCCACACUGGGACUGAGACACGGCCCAGACUCCUACGGGAGGCAGCAGUGGGGAAUUUUGGACAAUGGGCGAAAGCCUGAUCCAGCCAUGCCGCGUGAGUGAAGAAGGCCUUCGGGUUGUAAAGCUCUUUCGCAAGGAAAGAAAUCCUAUCCACUAAUACUGGGUGGGGAUGACGGUACCUAGAUAAGAAGCACCGGCUAACUACGUGCCAGCAGCCGCGGUAAUACGUAGGGUGCGAGCGUUAAUCGGAAUUACUGGGCGUAAAGCGAGCGCAGGCGGUUUUGUAAGUCAGAUGUGAAAUCCCCGGGCUCAACCUGGGAACU
rnacentral:rRNA from 1 species